rnacentral:SRP_RNA from 1 species
AGGUGGUGAAUCUGGUCAGGGGCGGAAGCCAGCAGCCACAGCCAUUUACUGCAAGUGCCGGGGGUCAGGCUCGCCACC